CUCCCUCACGAACCCUAGGCUUGCUGCUCUCUGUUUCUUAUUCCAUUGUCUCCAAUUUCUCAACAAUUCCUCAUAUCCAACAAGCUUCUGGUGUGGUUAUUCUGUUCGGAAGGAGGCAACACCAUAGUCGAAGGUAUUGUUUUCACGAUUUAUAGGGAUUUCUUACAAUGACGUCUCAUGUUCUGAUUCUGGCGGCGAUGUUAUGAUUUCGACGACGUUGUUAUUCUUCACAUCACAAAGUUAGGGUCACGAAAUUAAUUCCUAAUAACAAAUUACGAUCCAUUAUUUCACAAGGUUUCAUCACAAACUUAAAGCCUCAAAUCAGAUAUCUUCCUUCUUCGCCUCUAUCAGGAUUAGCUCGUGAAGCACUUGCUGGAGUGAUUUCACUUGCAUCUUCUGAAAUUGAUCAGAAUAAGGGAAUUUCAAGUUCUACCCAGUUGCUCAAAAGUUC